GAUGAACGCUGGCGGCGUGCCUAAUACAUGCAAGUCGAGCGAACACACGAUGAGCUUGCUCCUCUGCCGUUGGCGGCGGACGGGCGAGUAACACGUGGAUCACAUACCUAUAUGACUGGGGUGACUACGGGAGACCGCUGACACUACUAGCUCAUACAUCGUACGGCAUGGUUCAAUAGUUCUACACACUUUUCCUGACUCUUUUAGCUGAAUCCGCGUCGCAUUAGCUAGUUGGUAAGGUAACGGCUCACCAAGGCUACGAUGCGUAGCUGACCUGAGAGGGUGAUCAGCCACACUGGAACUGAGACACGGUCCAGACUCCUACGGGAGGCAGCAGUAGGGAAUAUUCCACAAUGGGCGAAAGCCUGAUGCAGCAAUGCCGCGUGAGUGAUGAAGGUCUUCGGGUUGUAAAACCCUGUUAUUGGGAAAGAAAAAAAGCGUGAGAAUAUCUGGCUGUCUUGACGGUACCUAAAGAAAAAGCCCCGGCUAACUACGUG
rnacentral:rRNA from 1 species